UCAAAGAUUAAGCCAUGCAAGUGAAAGUAUAUAUAUAUUUAUUAUAUAGAAACUGCGAACGGCUCAUUAAAACAGUUAUAAUCUACUUGACAUUUUUUUUAUAAGGAUAACUACGGAAAAGCUGUAGCUAAUACUUGAACGACUGUUAUAUAAUAAUCCUCGGAUUUUUAUAUAAUAUGUAUUUGUUAAGCCUUAUAAGAAAAAAGUUAUUAAUUUAAGGAAUUAUAACAAAGAAGCAACACAUAAUAAAACUCUGUUUUAUUUAGUGUAUAUCAAUCGAGUUUCUGACCUAUCAGCUUUUGAUGUUAGGGUAUUGGCCUAACAUGGCUAUGACGGGUAACGGGGAAUUAGAGUUCGAUUCCGGAGAGGGAGCCUGAGAAAUAGCUACCACAUCUAAGGAAGGCAGCAGGCGCGUAAAUUACCCAAUUCUAAAGAAGAGAGGUAGUGACAAGAAAUAACGAUGCAAGGCCAAAUUUUGGUUUUGCAAUUGGAAUGAUAGGAAUUUAAAAACUUCCUAAAGUAACAAUUGGAGGGCAAGUCUGGUGCCAGCAGCCGCGGUAAUUCCAGCUCCAAUAGCGUAUAUUAAAAUUGUUGCAGUUAAAACGCUCGUAGUUGAAUUUCAAAGGAUCUAUUUUUAAAGUAACGCUUUAUUGGAACCCCAUUACUACGAUACUCAGUAUCAUGUUUUGGGGAUCCAAUAUUAUGUGUUCUUUAAAAUAAAAGAGAUUCUUUUUAAAAAUUCUUUAUUACAUUUUUAUGUGAUAAGAAUUUUUGUUACUUUGAGUAAAUUAGAGUGUUCAAAGCAAACAGUUUAAAACAGGAAACUGUGUUUGAAUACUACAGCAUGGAAUAACAAAAUUGAACAAGCUAAAAUUUUGUUCUUUUUUCUUAUUUUGGCUUAGUUACGAUUAAUAGGAGUAGUUUGGGGACAUUCGUAUUCAGAUGUCAGAGGUGAAAUUCUUAGAUUUUCUGGAGACGAACAACUGCGAAAGCAUUUGUCUAAAAUACUUCCAUUAAUCAAGAACGAAAGUUAAGGGAGUGAAGACGAUCAGAUACCGUCGUAAUCUUAACCAUAAACUAUGCCGACUAGGUGUUGGAUGAAAGUGUAAAAAAUAAAAGAUGAUCUAAUGUAACAGUUAGAUUGUCUUUUAGCUUGCUUCCUUCAGUACCUUAUGAGAAAUCAAAGUCUUUGGGUUCUGGGGCGAGUAUUCGCGCAAGCGAGAAAGUUAAAAGAAUUGACGGAAGGGCACCACCAGGCGUGGAGCUUGCGGCUUAAUUUGACUCAACACGGGAAAACUCACUAGUUUAAGACAAGAGUAGGAUUGACAGAUUAAUAGCUCUUUCUUGAUUUCUUGGAUGGUGAUGCAUGGCCGUUUUUAGUUCGUGAAUAUGAUUUGUCUGGUUAAUUCCGAUAACGAACGAGAUCUUAACCUGCUAAUUAGCGGUAAAUACAACAUAUUCUUAAGUAAAUAAGAAUAUAGAUAAAAAUAACAAAUAAGAGAAAAUAUUAGGAUGUUAUUAUAUAUAAUAUCCUUUUCCCUUUUCUUCUUAUUUUGUUUUUUUAUUCCAUUUCUUUUUUUACUUAAGAAUGUAUUUACUUGAUUGUAAAGCUUCUUAGAGGGACAUUGUGUGUCUAACACAAGGAAGUUUAAGGCAACAACAGG
rnacentral:rRNA from 1 species